GAUGAACGCUGGCGGCGUGCCUAAUACAUGCAAGUCGAGCGAACGGACGAGAAGCUUGCUUCUCUGAUGUUAGCGGCGGACGGGUGAGUAACACGUGGAUAACCUACCUAUAAGACUGGGAUAACUUCGGGAAACCGGAGCUAAUACCGAAUAAUAUUUUGAACCGCAUGGUUCAAAAGUGAAAGACGGUCUUGCUGUCACUUAUAGAUGGAUCCGCGCUGCAUUAGCUAGUUGGUAAGGUAACGGCUUACCAAGGCAACGAUGCAUAGCCGACCUGAGAGGGUCAUUGGCUACACUGGAACUGAGAAACGGUACAGACUCCUACGGGAGGCCGCAGUAGGGAAUCCUACGCGAUGGGCGAAAGCCUGACGGAGCAACGCCGCGUGAGUGAUGAAGGUCUUCGGAUCGUAAAACUCUGUUAUUAGGGAAGAACAUAUGUGUAAGUAACUGUGAACAUCUUGACGGUACCUAAUCAGAAAGCCACGGCUAACUCCGUG
rnacentral:rRNA from 1 species